GUGAAGAGCACACAGAGAAGAUUAAGUGUGAUUUCUACAAGCUGAACUAACUGGAUGCCACUUCAGAACUGCCUAUCACACAGUGAUGCUUGCCUCGAAACGCUCAAAACGUUGUACAGAAGAGAAAGAAGCCAGCUCCAUCCUUUACAGAGAAAAUUUAAAGUCUGAUAUUCCAGGUGCAAGAGGCAGGCUACAGUGCAACACCACCAGUAUCCAAAGCUGUCGGAGGAAUUGGACCGAAAAUGUGCCAAGAGAGGCUACAAGAAAAAUAGCAGGCCUACAUCCCGGACCUAAAGGGCGAGGAAUGCAGUGACUACAAUGAGC